UACGAAGGGGGCUAGCGUUGCUCGGAAUCACUGGGCAUAAAGCGCACGUAGGCGGAUUGCUAAGUCAGGGGUGAAAUCCUGGAGCUCAACUCCAGAACUGCCUUUGAUACUGGCGGUCUCGAGUCCGGGAGAGGUGAGUGGAACUGCGAGUGUAGAGGUGAAAUUCGUAGAUAUUCGCAAGAACACCAGUGGCGAAGGCGGCUCACUGGCCCGGUACUGACGCUGAGGUGCGAAAGCGUGGGGAGCAAACAGG
rnacentral:rRNA from 1 species